rnacentral:piRNA from 1 species
GAGAAACCUUUUGCAGUCCUUGUCAA